rnacentral:rRNA from 1 species
UAAGUAGAGUGGCGAACGGGUUAGUAACGCGUGGGAACAUACACAGCACAGGGGGAUAACCAUUGGAAACGAUGGCUAAUACCGCAUACGCCCUAUUGGGGAAAGAUUUAUCGGUGUUGGAUUGGCCCGCGUUAGAUUAGCUAGUUGGUGGGGUAAUGGCUCACCAAGGCGACGAUUUAUAGCUGGUUUGAGAGGAUGAUCAGCAACACUGGAACUGAGACACGGUCCAGACUCCUACGGGAGGCAGCAGUCGGGAAUAUUGUGCAAUGGGGGCAACCCUGACACAGCCAUGCCGCGUGAGUGAAGAAGGCCUUAGGGUUGUAAAGCUCUUUCAGAUGUGAGGAUGAUGACGAUAGCAUCAGAAGAAGCUCCGGCUAACUUCGUGCCAGCAGCCGCGGUAAUACGAAGGGAGCUAGCGUUGUUCGGAAUUACUGGGC